GACGAACGCUGGCGGCGUGCUUAACACAUGCAAGUCGAACGAAGUGGCGAACGGGUGAGUAACGCGUAAUCAACCUGCCCUUCAGAGGAGGACAACAGUUGGAAACGACUGAUAAUACCGCAUACUGAAGGAGGGGAUUGCGUCUGAUUAGCUCGUUGGGGGGGUAACGGCCCACCAAGGCGAUGAUCAGUAGCCGGGCUGAGAGGAGGAACGGCCACAUUGGGACUGAGAAACGGCCCCGACUCCUACGGGAGGCAGCAGUGGGGAAUCUUCCGCAAUGGACGAAAGUCUGACGGAGCAACGCCGCGGGAGUGAUGACGGCCUUCGGGUUUUAAAGCUCUGUUAAUCGGGACGCGGUACCGGAAUAGAAAGCCACGGCUAACUCCGUGCCAGCAGCCGCGGUAAUAC
rnacentral:rRNA from 1 species